rnacentral:rRNA from 1 species
UGAGUAACACGUGGGCAACCUGCCCCUGACUUCGGGAUAACUCCUCGAAAGAGGAGCUAAUACCGGAUACGACCACUUCGGACAUCCGAUGGUGGUGGAAAGUUUUUCGGUCAGGGAUGGGCCCGCGGCCUAUCAGCUAGUUGGUGGGGUAAUGGCCUACCAAGGCGACGACGGGUAGCCGGCCUGAGAGGGCGACCGGCCACACUGGGACUGAGACACGGCCCAGACUCCUACGGGAGGCAGCAGUGGGGAAUAUUGCGCAAUGGGCGAAAGCCUGACGCAGCGACGCCGCGUGAGGGAUGAAGGCCUUCGUGUUGUAAACCUCUUUCAGCAGGGACGAAGCGAAAGUGACGGUACCUGCAGAAGAAGCACCGGCUAACUACGUG